ACAAGACAACAGCUGCUACCACGGUGCUUGAGAGAUUUCAGGAUGAUGACUCCAGCUGUGGUAAUUGUCUUGGCUGUUUUAGGACAGACAAGUGGCCAUUUUGAUACAAAUAUUGCUAGAGGUGGAAAAGUCACUCAGUCCUCCCUGUAUGGGAAUGCUGUCCCAGAAAGGGCCAUUGAUGGAAAUCGUGCUAGCAACUGGGUACAGGGAUCCUGUACCCACACUCAGCAAGAUAACAGUCCAUGGUGGAGACUGGACCUCUCCUGAAGACCUAUACAAAUCAACACUGUCACCAUCACCAACAGGAAAAAGAUUGUUGCUCGGAAAGGAUCA